rnacentral:rRNA from 1 species
CGUAACGCGUAUAGAACCUACCCUUUACAGGGGGAUAGCCCGGAGAAAUUCGGAUUAAUACCCCAUAGUAAUACUAAGUGGCAUCAUUUGGUAUUUAAAGUUUCGGCGGUAGAGGAUGGCUAUGCGUCUUAUUAGUUAGUAGGUGAGGUAACGGCUCACCUAGACAGCGAUAAGUAGGGGCCCUGAGAGGGGGAUCCCCCACACUGGUACUGAGACACGGACCAGACUCCUACGGGAGGCAGCAGUGAGGAAUAUUGGACAAUGGUCGAGAGACUGAUCCAGCCAUGCCGCGUGCAGGAAGACGGCCUUACGGGUUGUAGACUGCUUUUAUACGGGAAGAAUAAUACCCACGUGUGGGUAGAUGACGGUACCGUAAGAAUAAGGACCGGCUAACUCCGUGCCAGCAGCCGCGGUAAUACGGAGGGUCCGAGCGUUAUCCGGAAUUAUUGGGUUUAAAGGGUCCGCAGGCGGGUCAGUAAGUCAGGGGUGAAAGUUUGCGGCUUAACCGUAAAAUUGCCUUUGAUACUGCUGGUCUUGAGUUGCGGUGAAGUGGCUGGAAUAUGUGGUGUAGCGGUGAAAUGCAUAGAUAUCACAUAGAACACCGAUUGCGAAGGCAGGUCACUAACCGCCGACUGACGCUGAUGGACGAAAGCGUGGGGAGCGAACGGGAUUAGAUACCCCGGUAGUCCACGCCGUAAACGAUGGACACUAGCUGUCGGGCCUAUUGUAGGUUCGGUGGCUAAGCGAAAGUGAUAAGUGUCCCACCUGGGGAGUACGUCGGCAACGAUGAAACUCAAAGGAAUUGACGGGGGCCCGCACAAGCGGUGGAGCAUGUGGUUUAAUUCGAUGAUACGCGAGGAACCUUACCAGGGCUUAAAUGUAGUGGGACAGGCUUAGAGAUAGGCUUUUCUUCGGACUCAUUACAAGGUGCUGCAUGGUUGUCGUCAGCUCGUGCCGUGAGGUGUCAGGUUAAGUCCUAUAUCGAGCGCAGCCCCUACCGUUAGUUGCCAGUGAGUAGAGUCGGGGA